rnacentral:rRNA from 1 species
GACAGAGGGUGCAAACGUUGUUCGGAAUUACUGGGCGUAAAGCGCGUGUAGGCUGCUCUGCAAGUCGGAUGUGAAAGCCCUGGGCUCAACCUAGGAAGUGCACUCGAAACUGCAGAGCUUGAGUCCUGGAGAGGGAAGGCGGAAUUCUCGGUGUAGAGGUGAAAUUCGUAGAUAUCGAGAGGAACACCGGUGGCGAAGGCGGCCUUCUGGACAGUGACUGACGCUGAGACGCGAAAGCGUGGGGAGCAAACAGG